rnacentral:rRNA from 1 species
GAUAAACGCUGGCGGCGUGCAUGAGACAUGCAAGUCGAACGGACGAUCAGGGCUUGCUCUGAUCGUUAGUGGCGGACGGCUGAGUAACGCGUAGGUGACCUGCCCCGAAGUGGGGAAUAACUGCCCGAAAGGGUGGCUAAUACCGCAUGUGGUGGUGCCUUCAUAGGCACCAGUAAAGCCGCAAGGCGCUUCGGGAGGGGCCUGCGUCCGAUUAGCUCGUUGGUGGGGAACGGCUCACCAAGGCGACGAUCGGUAGGUGGUCUGAGAGGACGAUCACCCAGACUGGGACUGAGACACGGCCCAGACUCCUACGGGAGGCAGCAGUCGGGAAUUUUGCGCAAUGGACGAAAGUCUGACGCAGCAACGCCGCGUGAGGGAUGACGGCC